CCUACGGGAGGCAGCAGUGAGGAAUAUUGGUCAAUGGGCGCGAGCCUGAACCAGCCAAGUCGCGUGAGGGAAGACGGUCCUAUGGAUUGUAAACCUCUUUUGUCGGGGAGCAAAAGACGCCACGCGUGGCGUUCCGAGAGUACCCGAAGAAAAAGCAUCGGCUAACUCCGUGCCAGCAGCCGCUGUAAUACGGAGGAUGCGUGCGUUAUCCGGAUUUAUUGGGUUUAAAGGGUGCGCAGGCGGAAGAUCAAGUCAGCGGUAAAAUUGAGAGGCUCAACCUCUUCGAGCCGUUGAAACUGGUUGUCUGGAGUGAGCGAGAGGUAUGCGGAAUGCGUGGUGUAGCGGUGAAAUGCAUAGAUAUCACGCAGAACUCCGGUGGCGAAGGCAGCAUACCGGCGCUCAACUGACGCUGAUGCACGAAAGUGUGGGUAGCGAACAGGAUUAGAUACCCUUGUAGUC
rnacentral:rRNA from 1 species